UUCGGAUUGGAGUCUGCAACCCGACUCCAUGAAGCUGGAUUCGCUAGUAAUCGCGCAUCAGCCACGGCGCGGUGAAUACGUUCCCGGGCCUUGUACACACCGCCCGUCAAGCCAUGGGAGCCGGGGGUACCUGAAGUGCGUGACCGCAAGGAGCGCCCUAAGGUAAAACCGGUGACUGGGGCUAAGUCGUAACAAGGUACC
rnacentral:rRNA from 1 species